UACGUAGGUGGCAAGCGUUGUCCGGAAUUAUUGGGCGUAAAGCGCGCGCAGGCGGUUCCUUAAGUCUGAUGUGAAAGCCCCCGGCUCAACCGGGGAGGGUCAUUGGAAACUGGGGAACUUGAGUGCAGGAGAGGAAAGCGGAAUUCCACGUGUAGCGGUGAAAUGCGUAGAUAUGUGGGAGGAACACCAGUGGCGAAGGCGGCUUUUCUGGUCUGUAACUGACGCUGAGGCGCGGAAGCGUGGGGGAGCAAACAGG
rnacentral:rRNA from 1 species